UGUUGCUCUGCGGCCCAGCUACGUGGCUGCCUGGAUUUGUGAUCUUCCUACUUCAGCCUCCUGAGUCGCUGUGAUUACAGGCCUGUACUGGCACCCAUGCCUGGCUGAGUUGCCUCUUUCUAGAACUUGCCUCAUCUUUUUGUCUUUUUGUUAUUGAAUACAGGAACUUUGGCUAGACCAAAUGUCAACUCCUCACUUAUACUACACGCUGCAGAAAGCUGUAUUUCAGAAAAUCGAAAAUCCCAGUGAAAUGGUAAG
rnacentral:lncRNA from 1 species